GAUGAACGCUGGCGGCGUGCCUAAUACAUGCAAGUCGAGCGAACAGACGAGGAGCUUGCUCCUCUGACGUUAGCGGCGGACGGGUGAGUCACACGUGUAUAACCUACCUAUAAGACUGGGAUAACUUCGGGAAACCGGAUCUAAUACCGGAUAAUAUAUUGAACCGCAUGGUUCAAUAGUGAAAGACGGUUUUGCUGUCACUACUAGAUGGAUCCGCGCCGCAUUAGCUAGUUGGUAAGGUAACGGCUUACCAAGGCAACGAUGCGUAGCCGACCUGAGAGGGUGAUCGGCCACACUGGAACUGAGACACGGUCCAGACUCCUACGGGAGGCAGCAGUAGGGAAUCUUCCGCAAUGGGCGAAAGCCUGACGGAGCAACGCCGCGUGAGUGAUGAAGGUCUUCGGAUCGUAAAACUCUGUUAUUAGGGAAGAACAGAUGUGUAAGUAAAUAUGCACGUCUUGACGGUACCUAAUCAGAAAGCCACGGCUAACUACGUG
rnacentral:rRNA from 1 species